rnacentral:rRNA from 1 species
UUAAUUAGGAGCUGGAAUGAAAGAGGCGACGAAAUCUAGACUAUUUAAGUUUUAGUAUAAAUUGACAAGCGGGUCAAAAGGCCCGCAUGCACCAGGGGGACGAUAAGACCCUAUAAAACUUUACUCUCAGGCCGGUGGCUAGCAGGAAGUGGGGUGUUUGAGAGUUUAACUGGGGCGGUUAUUAUAGAAACAAUUAUACAUAAAAUAUAUUAUAUAGAUUGGUAGAACUCUCUAGAGAAAUAGAACAAGUUACUUUAGGGAUAACAGCGUGAUCCCCCCAGAGAGUCCUGAUUGGCGGGGGGGCUUACGACCUCGAUGUUGAAUUGGGAAUUCCUAUAUAAGCAAACAUAUAUAUAGACAGUCUGUUCGACUAUUAAACUCCC